rnacentral:snRNA from 1 species
AUCUUUGCGCUUGGGGCAAUGACGCAGCUAGUGAGGUUCUAACCGAGGCGCGUCUAUUGCUGAUUGAAAACUAUUUCCAAACCCCCUCUUCGGCCCUGGAUUGCCCAGGGCUGUCGAGAAUUUUUGGAUGGGCUCCCCUCGGGUAUAGCC